AAUGAUGUUUUGAUGAAGGAAUUUAUGAAAAAUGCAGAUAAGGGUUAAAUGAUGAAGAAGCUGUUUAACGGUGUUGGUCUGGGGGGUGGAGGAGGAGGGUGGGGCCACAAUUCACCUGGGA